GCUAAGCAUUAGACUUGGGGUCGGAAGGGAGCAUGGAGAGAGUGACGAAGACCCAGAAUAGUAUGGAUGGUCUGAGCCCCAUCCCACAGCAGUUACACCUGAAUCUCUGAGCAGGGGUCUGGCCUGCUGUGUGUUCAUGGUACCCAGUGAGGAUCUGAUUCCAGUCUAGCCUGGAGUUCAAGCGAGUCCGAGAAGAUCUACGGGAACAAAUGAUCCACGGAAUAUGCUUUGAGAAGUGUAACGUGGUAGCAAAGUUCAGCUUUGAAGUCACAAGACCUGGCUUGCUCCGCCAUGUGGCCUUAGGCAAGUUGCUUAAGUCCAUUUUCGUUGCGUCCAUUUUCCCAUCUGCAAACAAGAGCUCAAUCAUAACAUCUCCCUUGUGCAGUUGUCAGGGUUAACUAAUGCCUGUGAAGCCUUGAGUGCUGUGCCUGGCACCCAGAAGCCACUCACUGAAGGACACCAGCCUGGUUUGAGAGAUCCUUAUGUCUGCUCUAAAAUUCUAUAACUCGGGCUUCCCUG